GGUGCCGUAGCCAGGCCAUACGUCGCACUUUUAAUGCCCGGGUCGCAGGUUCGAAUCCUGCCGGUGGCU
rnacentral:tRNA from 1 species